rnacentral:rRNA from 1 species
AGUGAACGCUGGCGGUAGGCCUAACACAUGCAAGUCGAACGGCAGCACAGUAAGAGCUUGCUCUUACGGGUGGCGAGUGGCGGACGGGUGAGGAAUACAUCGGAAUCUACUUUUUCGUGGGGGAUAACGUAGGGAAACUUACGCUAAUACCGCAUACGACCUACGGGUGAAAGCAGGGGAUCUUCGGACCUUGCGCGAUUGAAUGAGCCGAUGUCGGAUUAGCUAGUUGGCGGGGUAAAGGCCCACCAAGGCGACGAUCCGUAGCUGGUCUGAGAGGAUGAUCAGACACAAUGGAACUGAGAAACGGUCCAGAGUCCUACGGGAGGCAGCAGUGGGGAAUAUUGGACAAAGGGCGCAAGCCUGAUCCAGCCAUACCGCGUGGGUGAAGAAGGCCUUCGGGUUGUAAAGCUCUUUUGUUGGGAAAGAAAAGCAGCAGGUUAAUACCCCGCUGUUCUGACGGUACCCAAAGAAUAAGCACCGGCUAACUUCGUG